rnacentral:rRNA from 1 species
GACGAACGCUGGCGGCGUGCCUAAUACAUGCAAGUAGGACGCAGUUGCGAACGGGUGAGUAACGCGUAGGUAACUACCUAUUAGAGGGGGAUAACUAUUGGAAACGAUAGCUAAUACCGCAUACUUUUAGAUGGCCCUGCGUUUGAUUAGUUAGUAGGUAGGGAAAUGGGCUAACUAGGAAACGAUACAUAGCCGAGCUGAGAGGGUGAUCGGCCACACGGGGUAUGAGACACGGCCCAGAAUCCUACGGGAGGCAGCAGUAGGGAAUCUUCGGAAAUGGGGGGAACCCUGACCGAGCAACGCCGCGUGAGUGAAGAAGGUUUUCGGAGCGUAAAGCUCUGUUGUUAAGGAAGCGGUACUUAACCAGAAAGGGACGGCUAACUACGUGCCAGCAGCCGCGGUAAUAC